rnacentral:rRNA from 1 species
UGGGGAAUAUUGGACAAUGGGCGCAAGCCUGAUCCAGCCAUGCCGCGUGAGUGAUGAAGGCCCUAGGGUUGUAAAGCUCUUUCACCGGUGAAGAUAAUGACGGUAACCGGAGAAGAAGCCCCGGCUAACUUCGUGCCAGCAGCCGCGGUAAUACGAAGGGGGCUAGCGUUGUUCGGAUUUACUGGGCGUAAAGCGCACGUAGGCGGACUAUUAAGUCAGGGGUGAAAUCCCGGGGCUCAACCCCGGAACUGCCUUUGAUACUGGUAGUCUUAAGUUCGAGAGAGGUGAGUGGAAUUCCGAGUGUAGAGGUGAAAUUCGUAGAUAUUCGGAGGAACACCAGUGGCGAAGGCGGCUCGCUGGCUCGAUACUGACGCUGAGGUGCGAAAGCGUGGGGAGCAAACAGG